AGUGAUAAAUGCUGUUUAGCAGUGGGGUUCAUGUCUCCAUGGUUGUAAGUUUUUCUUUCUUUCAUUU
rnacentral:tRNA from 1 species